rnacentral:rRNA from 1 species
UUCGUGCUCGAAAGAGAGCCAUAACACAGGUGCUGCAUGGCUGUCGUCAGCUCGUGUCGUGAGAUGUUGGGUUAAGUCCCGCAACGAGCGCAACCCUUGUCAUUAGUUGCUACAUUCAGUUGGGCACUCUAAUGAGACUGCCGGUGACAAACCGGAGGAAGGUGGGGAUGACGUCAAGUCCUCAUGGCCCUUAUAGGUGGGGCUACACACGUCAUACAAUGGCCGGUACAAAGGGUCGCAAACCCGCGAGGGGGAGCCAAUCCAUCAAAGCCGGUCGUAGUCCGGAUCGCAGUCUGCAACUCGACUGCGUGAAGUCGGAAUCGCUAGUAAUCGUGGAUCAGCAUGUCACGGUGAAUACGUUCCCGGGUCUU